rnacentral:rRNA from 1 species
UUGCGGUUAAAAAGCUCGUAGUUGGAUUUCUGUUGAGGAUGACCGGUCCGCUCUUUGAGCGCGUAUCUGGUUCAGCCUUGGCAUCCUCUUGGGGAACGCUACUGUGCUUGAUUGCAUGGGGCGGUAUUCAAGACUUUUACUUUGAGGAAAUUAGAGUGUUCACUGCAAGCGUUAGCAAUUGAAUACAUUAGCAUGGAAUAAUAAUAUAGGACCUUGGUACUAUUUUGUUGGUUACUAGAACUAAGGUAAUGAUUAAUAGGGACAAUUGGGGGCAUUCGUAUUAACGCGUCAGAGGUGGAAUUCUUAGAUUGCGUUACGACGAACUACUGCGAAAGCAUUUGCCAAGGAUGUUUUCAUUGAUCAAGAACGAAAGUAUGGGGAUCGAAGACGCUUAGAUACCGUCGUAGUCUAUACCAUAAACUAUGCCAACUAGAGAUUGGAGGUCGUUCUCUUUAUGACUCCUUCAGCACCUUAUGAGAAAUCAAAGUCUUUGGGUUCCGGGGGGAGUAUGGUCGCAAGGCUGAAACUUAAAGGAAUUGACGGAAGGGCACCACCAGGAGUGGAGCCUGCGGCUUAAUUUGACUCAACACGGGAAACUUACCAGGUCCAGACAUAGUAAGGAUUGACAGAUUGAUAGCUCUUUCUUGAUUCUAUGGGUGGUG